GAUGAACGCUGGCGGCGUGCCUAAUACAUGCAAGUCGAGCGAACGGACGAGAAGCUUGCUUCUCUGAUGUUAGCGGCGGACGGGGGAGUAACACGUGGAUAACCUACCUAUAAGACUGGGAUAACUUCGGGAAACCGGAGCUAAUACCGGAUGAUAUUUUGAACCGCAUGGUUAAAAAGUGAAAGACGGUCUUGCUGUAACUUAUAGAUGGAUCCGCGCUGCAUUAGCUAGUUGGUAAGGUAACGGCUUACCAAGGCAACGAUGCAUAGCCGACCUGAGAGGGUGAUCGGCCACACUGGAACUGAGACACGGUCCAGACUCCUACGGGAGGCAGCAGUAGGGAAUCUUCCGCAAUGGGCGAAAGCCUGACGGAGCAACGCCGCGUGAGUGAUGAAGGUCUUCGGAUCGUAAAACUCUGUUAUUAGGGAAGAACAUAUGUGUAAGUAACUGUGCACAUCUUGACGGUACCUAAUCAGAAAGCCACGGCUAACUACGUG
rnacentral:rRNA from 1 species